rnacentral:lncRNA from 10 species
CAUGAGGUAUCAAUAUAAACUCCCCAGUUUAAAACAAAAAUAGGUGGAUGCCAAUAGUGGUCUUUAUCUCAACACUAGAAGAAAGGUCCUCAACUGGAAAAAAAUUUACAUUUUUGUAAGAAAAAAACAAUCCUUAUGUUUCUUUAUAAAUCUCACUACAUCUUCAAUAUGGUUUGGCUGUGCCCCCACCCAAAUCUCAACUUGAAUUGUAUCUCCCAGAAUUCCCAUGUGUUGUGAGGGGGACCCAAUGAAGGGUAAUUGAAUCAUGGGGCCGGUCUUUCCCAUGUUAUCCUCAUGAUAGUGGAUAAGUCUCAUGAGAUCUAGUGGAUUUAUCAGGGGUUUCUACUUUUGCUUCCUCCUCAUUCUCUCUUGCCAUGACCAUGUAAGAAGUGCCUUUCACCCUCUGCCUUCAUUGUGAGACCUUUCCCAGCCAUGUGGAACUAUAAAUCCAAUUCAUCCUCUUUCUUUUGUAAAUUGCCCAGUCUCAGGUAUGUCUUUAUCAGCAGUGUGAAAAUGGACUAAUACAGUAAAUUGGUAUGAGAAGUGGGGUGUUGCUGAAAAGAUAAUUGAAAAUGUGGAUGCAGCUUUGGAACUGGGUAAUAGGCAGAGGUUGAAACAGUUUGUAGGGCUCAGAAGAAGACAGGAAAAUGUGGGAAAGUUUGGAACUUCCUAGAGACUUGUUGAAUAUCUUUGCCCAAAAUGGUGAUAAUGAUAUGGACAAUAAAGUCCAGGAUGAAGUGGUCUCAGAUGGAAAUGAGGAACUUGCUGGGAACUAGAGCAAAGGUGACUCUUGUCAUGCUUUAGCAAAGAAAAUGGUGGCAUUUUGCCUCUGCCUUAGAGAUUUGUAGAACUUUGAACUUGUGAGAGAUGACUAAGGGUAUCCGGCAGAAGAAAUUUCUAAGCAGCAAAGCAUUCAAGAGGUGACUUGGGUGCUGUUAAAGGCAUUCCAUUUUACAAGGGAAGCAGAGGAUAAAAGUUUGGAAAAUUUGCAGCCUGACAAUGUGAUAGAAAAGAAAAUCCCAUUUUCUGAAAAGAAAUUUAAGCUGGCUGUAGAACUUUGCAUAAGUAACAAGGAGCUGAAUGUUAAUUUCCAAGACAAUGGGGAAAAUGUCCCUGGGGCAUGUCAGUGGUCUUCGUGGCAGCCCUUCUCAUCACAGGCCUAGAGGUUUAAGAGGAAGAAAUGGUUUCAUCGUCCGGGCCCAGGGUCCCUGUGCUGUGUGCAGCCUAGGGACUUGGUGUCCCGUGUCCUAGCCACUCCAGCUAUGACUAAAAGGGGCCAAGGUACAGCUCAGACCCUGGCUUCAGAGGGUGCAAACCCCAAGCCUUGGCAGGGUCCAUAUGGUGUUGAGCCUGUGGGUGCACAGAAGUCAAGAACUGAUGUUUGGGAACCUCAGACUAGAUUUCAGAACAUGUAUGAAAACACCUGGAUGCCCAGGCAAAAGUUUCCUGAAGGGACUGGGCCCUCAUGCAGAACCUCUGCUAGAGCAGUGCUGAAGGGAAAUGUGGGGUGAGAGACCCCACACAGAGUCCCUACUGGGGCACUGCCUAGUGGAACUGUGAGAAGAGGGCCACCAUCCUCCAGAUCCCAGAAUGGUAGAUUCACCAACAGCUUGCACUGUGUGCCUGGAAAAGCCUCAGACACUCAAUGCCAGCCUAUGAAAGCCACAGGUAGGGUGGCCGUACCUUGCAAAGCCACAGGGAUGGAGCUGCCCAAGACCAUGGGAACCCACCUCUUGCAUCAGUGUGACAUGGAGCCAAAGGAGGUCAUUUUGGAACUUUAAGAUUUGACUGCCCUGCUGGAUUUUGGACUUGCAUGGGGCCUGUAGCCCCUUUCUUUUGGCUAAUUUUUUUUUUUUCAUUUGGAACAGCUGUAUUUACCCAAUGUCUGUACCUCCAUUGUAUCUAGGAAGUAACUAACUUGCCUUUGAUUUUACAGGCUCAUAGCCUGAAGGGACAUGUCUUUUCUCAGAUGAGAUGUUGGACUCUGGACUUUUAAGUUAAUGCUGAAAUGAGUUAAGACUUUGGGGGACUGUUGGAAAGGCAUGAUUGGUUUUGAAAUGAGAGGACAUGAGAUUUGGGAGGGGCCAGGGUGGAAUUAUAUGGUUUGGCUGUGCCUCCACCCAAAUCUCAACUUGAAUUAUAUCUCCCAGAAGUCCCACAGGUUGUGGGAGGGACACAGUGGGAGGUAAUUGAAUCAUGGGGGCUAGUCUUUCCCAUGCUAUUCUCAUGAUAGUGAAUAAGUCUCAUGAGAUGUGAUGGGUCUAUGAGCGGUUUCUGCUUUUGCUUCUUCCUCAUUCUCUCUUGCCACCACCAUAUAAUAAGUGUCUUUAACCCUCUGCCAUGAUUGUGAUAACUUCCCCAGCCAUGUGGAACUGUAAGUCCAAUUAAUCUGUUUUCUUUUGUAAAUAGCCCAGUCUUGGGUAUGUCUUUAUCAGCAGUGUGAAAACAAACUAAUACAAUCUUACUGCCUGACUAGCCUAACUCUUAGUAACCUUAAUUCCUAGUAAAAAACCUAAUAUUGUUUAACAUAAAAUGUGUGAAAGAAAAAUAAAUAUUGGGUCCCCCAAAUUACUAAACUAAAGAGGAAAGUCGAGUUGGGAACUGCUUAGGGCUAACCUGCCUCCCAUUCCAUUCAAGGUCAACCCUCUGCUCACUGAGAUAAAUGCAUAUCUGACUGCCUCCUGAUAUGGUUUGGCUAUGUCCCUACCCAAAUCUCAUUUUGAAUUGUAGCUCUCAUAAUUCCCACAUGUUGUAGGAGGAAUGCAGUGGGAGAUAAUUGUAUCAUGGGGGUGGUUUCCCCCAUAUUUUUCUUGUGGUAAUGAAUAAGUCUCCUGAGAGCUGAUGUUUGUAUAACAGGAAACCCUUUUCACUUGGUUCUCAUUUUCUCCUUUGUCUGCUACCAUGUAAGACAUGUCUUUGGCCUUUUGCCAUGAUUGUGAGGCCUCUCCAGCCACGUGGAACUGUGAGCCCAUUAAAACUCUUUUUAUUUAUAAAUUACCCAGUCUCGGAUAUGUCUGUAUCAGUAGUGUGAGAACGAACUAAUACACCUCCUUUGGAGAGGCUAAUCAGAAUCUCAAAAGAAUGCAACUAUUUGUCUCUUAUCUAACUAUGACCUGUAAGUCCCCACUCCACUUCGAAUCAUCCCACAUUUGCUUUGAGUUGUCCCACCUUUCUGGACCCAACAAAUGUUCAUCUUACAUAUGUUGAUUGAUAUCUCAUGUCUCUCUAAAAUGUGUAAAACCAAGCUGUGCUCUGAUCACCUUGGGCAGAUGUCAUCAGGACCUCCUGAGAUUGUGUCAGGGGUGCGCAUCCUCAACCUUGGCAAAUAAACUUUCUAAAUUAACUGAGACCUGUCUCAGAUAUUCAGGGGUCAUACAUGACUUUAAGAUUUCAAAUUAUUGGAGAAAAUUUUGAGACUAAAGUUACUAAAUUAAUCUUACCAAUGAUUACUACAGUCAUGUGAACUGAAGUCUGUGAGCUAGCUUCUAUUAAUUUGAUAAACACUUUUCUUUUAGCCAGUUAAUUAGAGUUCUCUCAUAUGAUUAAUAGAUGAACAUCAUUUCCACAACACACAUAUAACAUAUUGACAUAGAAGACCCAGACAGAGGCAGAUCUUAUAGAUUUAAAAUAUUUCGUUUGCCUAUUUUCAAACAUGUUCUAGCUCCUGCUACAGACUAUUAAUCUCUUGAUUAUCUGUCCCAUGUCCUAAACAAUUGUUAACUAGGCAACUCUAAAUUUGCAUCUCCAAAGACAUGACUUAGGUUUAAAAAAAGGUAGAAAACGUACAUCUCAAAGGCAUAGACUUAGAUGUAAACAAAAGUAAGGUCUAUUAUGUAAACUUUAAAACAUUGUUUAUUCCCUAGUUAAAAUUUCUAGUGGUUUAGGUGCAGAGACACAGCUGCUUUACGAAAAAAAAAAAAAAAAAAAAAAGAUUUUAUUUAAAGAUGAAAAUUUUCCAUACAAAGAGAUUUAUUUAAAUGAUUUAGUUUUAUAGAUGGUCUUUUCAACUUAGCUUUACUAGAUUACUAACUUUAGGGUGAAGCCCUUUAAGAAACAGGGCCAACAAAGCAUGCAGGUUUUAGGGCUUGCAUAAUGACGUUUUUAUCUAAAUGUUCAAAUAAAUGAGUUGUUCCUCGUAGUGUAGCAGAACGAGCCACAGACAAAACCUCUCAGACACCGAGUUGUAGAAGGAAGGGCUUUAUUCAGCUGGGAGCAUCAGCAAGCUACUGCCUUAAAAUCCGAGCUCCCUGAGUGCACAAUUUAUGUCCCUUUUAAGGGCUCACAACACUAAAGAUUUCACAUGAAAGGGUCGUGAUUGAUUUGAGCAAGCAAGGGGUAGUGACAGGGGCUGCAUGUACUGGUGGUCAGAGUGAAACAGAGCAGAGCAGGGAGUUUCACAAUGUUCUUCCACACAAUGCCUGAAAUCUAUGGGUAACAUUGGGUUCUAAGUCAUGAGUUGAUUUUUAACUACUAUGUUUAGGCGAGGCAGGCCCAGGCCUGGUUUUGGGCCUGGCACUGGGCUGACUGUCUUUGAUUUCACUUCCUUGUUUUUUUUUUUCUUAAAACAGAUACUGAGUAUAAAACAAUAUAAAACAAUAUGAGAGAGUCUCUCUCUUCCCUCAGUAGUAAUGGCCAUUUUCUAUAAAUUUUGCUCAGCCAUCCCUAACAUUGUCAUUCUCAUCUGCCACUACACACACCAAGGUCAAAUUUUGUAACAGUACAAAAUAAUCUCUAGUACCCACCAAAGCCAAAGAGAUCAGGUAAUGCAAUAUAAGAAAGCAGAACUUUAGACCUGAAAGAAAUCUGCCAUGACACUUGAAACUCCACAAAGAAAGCAGAAUACUCUCUCUUUGUUAAGGGGUCUGAUUCAUUAGAAGCCUGUCAGGCCUCUGAGCCCAAGCCAAGCCAUCACAUCCCCUGUGUCUUGCACCUAUACGCCCAGAUGGCCUGAAGUAACUGAAGAAUCACAAAAGAAGUGAAUAUGCCCUGCCCCACCUUAACUGAUGACAUUCCACCACAAAAGAAGUGUAAAUGGCCGGUCCUUGCCUUAAGUGAUGACAUUACCUUGUGAAAGUCCUUUUCCUGGCUCAUCCUGGCUCAAAAAGCACCCCCACUGAGCACCUUGCGACCCCGACUCCUGCCCGCCAGAGAACAAACCCCCUUUGACUGUAAUUUUCCGUUACCUACCCAAAUCCUAUAAAACAGCCCCACCCUUAUCUCCCUUCACUGACUCUCUUUUCGGACUCAGCCCGCCUGCACCCAGGUGAAAUAAACAGCCUUGUUGCUCACACAAAGCCUGUUUGGUGGUCUCUUCACACGGACGCGCAUGAAAUUUGGUCCCAGUCAGGCCUCUGAGCCCAAGCCAAGCCAUCGCAUGCCCUGUGACUUGCACAUGUAUGCCCAGAUGGCCUGAAGUAACUGAAGAAUCACAAAAGAAGUGAAUGUGCCCUGCCCCGCCUUAACUGAUGACAUUCCACCACAAAAGAAGUGAAAAAGGCCGGUCCUUGCCUUAAGUGAUGACAUUACCUUGUGAAAGUCCUUUUCCUGGCUCAUCCUGGCUCAAAAAGCACCCCCACUGAGCACCUUGCGACCCCCACUCCUGCCUGCCAGAGAACAAACCCCCUUUGACUGUAAUUUUCCUUUACCUACCCAAAUCCUAUAAAACAGCCCCACCCUUAUCUCCCUUCACUGACUCUCUUUUCGGACUCAGCCCGCCUGCACCCAGGUGAAAUAAACAGCCUUGUUGCUCACACAAAGCCUGUUUGGUGGUCUCUUCACACGGACAUGCAUUAAAUUUGGUGCCGUGACUCAGAUCAGGGGACCUCCCUUGGGAAAUCAAUCCCCUGUCCUCCUGCUCUUUGCUCCGUGAGAAAGAUCCACCUACGACCUCAGGUCCUCAGACCAACCAGCCCAAGAAACAUCUCACCAAUUUCAAAUCCAGUAAGCCGCCUCUUUUUACUCUCUUCUCCAACCUCCCUCACUAUCCCUCAGCCUCUUUCUCCUUUCAAUCUUGGUGCCACACUUCAAUCUCUCCCUUCUUUUAAUUUCAAUUCCUUUCAUUUUCUGGUAGAGACAAAGGAGACAUGUUUUAUCCCUGGACCCAAAACUCUGGCGCCGGUCACGGACUAGGGAAGGCAGCUUUCCCUUGGUGUUUAAUCAUUUCAGGGACACCUCUCUGAUUAUUUACCCAGGUUUCAGAGGUGUCAGACCACGCAGGGAUGCCUGCCUUGGUCCUUCACCCUUAGUGGCAAGUCCUGCUUUUCUGGGGAAGGGGCAAGUACCCCAACCCCUUCUCUCCGUGUCUCUACCCCUUCUCUGCCUUUCUGGGGGGCAAGAAACCCCCAACCCUUUCUCCUUCACCCUGAGUGGCAAGUCCCACUUUUCUAGAGGAGGGGAAAGUACCCCAACCUCAUAUCUCUGCACCUCAAUCCCUUAUUUCCACACCCCAACCUAUUAUCUCUGUGCCCCAAUCCCUUAUUUCCAUGCCCCAACCUCUUAUCUCUGCACCACAAUCCCUUAUUUCCAUGCCCCGACAUCUUAUGUCUCCACGCCCUGACCUCGUAUCUCUGCACCCCGACCCCUUUCCUGCUUUUCUGGAGGGUAAGAACCCCUGAACCGCUUCCCUCCGUGUCUCUACUCUCCCUUUUCUUUAAACUUGCCUCCUUCACUAUAGGCAACCUUCCACCCUCCAUUCCUCCUUCUUCUCUCUUAGCCUGUGUUCUCAAAAACUUAAAACCUCUUCAACUCACACCUGACCUAAAACCUAAAUGCCUUAUUUUCUUCUGCAAUGCCGCUUGACCCCAAUACAAACUCAACAGUAGUUCCAAAUAGCCGGAAAACAGCACUUUCAAUUUUUCCAUCCUGCAAGAUCUAAAUAAUUCUUGUCGUAAAAUGGGCAAACGGUCUGAGGUGCCUGACGUCCAGGCAUUCUUUUACACAUCGGUCCCUCCCCAGUCUCUGUGCCCAAUGCAACUCAUCCCAAAUCUUCCUUCUUUCCCUCCCACCUGUCCCCUCAGUCCCAACCCCAAGCAUCACUGAGUCUUUCUAAUCUUCCUUUUCUACAGACCCAUCUGACCUCUCCCCUCCUCCCCAGGCUGCUCCUCACCAGGCCGAGCUAGGUCCCAAGUCUUCCUCAGCCUCCGCUCCUCCACCCUAUAAUCCUUUUAUCACCUCCUCUCCUCACACCCAGUCCGGUCCGGCUUACAGUUUCAUUCCGUGACUAGCCCUCCCCCACCUGCCAGCAAUUUACUCUUAAAAAGGUGGCUGGAGCUAAAGGCAUAGUCAAGGUUAUUGCUCCUUUUUCUUUAUCCCAAAUCAGAUAGCGUUUAGGCUCUUUAUCAAUAUAAAAAUCCAGCCCAGUUCAUAACUUGUUUGGCAGCAACCCUGAGACACUUUACAGCCCUAGACCCUAAAAGGUCAAAAGGCCGUCUUAUUCUCAAAAUACAUUUUAUUACCCAAUCUGCUCCUGACAUUAAAUAAAACUCCAAAAAUUAAAUUCCAGCCCUCAAACCCCACAACAGGAUUUAAUUAACCUCGCCUUCAAGGUGUACAAUAAUAGAAAAAAGUUGCAAUUCCUUGCCUCCACUGUGAGACAAACCCCAACCACAUCUCUAGCACACAAGAACUUCCAAAUGCCUGAACCGCAGCGGCCAGGCGUUCCUCCAGUACCGCCUCCCCCAGGAGCUUGCUACAAGUGCCAGAAAUCUGGCCACCAGGCCAAGGAAUGCCUGCAGCCCAGGAUUCCUCCUAAGCCGCGUCCCAUCUGUGCGAGACCCCACUGGAAAUCGGACUGUCCAACUCACCUGGCAGCCACUCCCAGAGCCCCUGGAACUCUGGCCCAAGGCUCUCUGACUCCUUCCCAGAUCUUCUUGGCUUAGCGGCUGAAGACUGACGCUGCCCAGUCGCCUCGGAAGCCCCCCUACAUCAUGGACGCUGAGCUUCAGAUAACUCUCACAGUGGAAGUUUGGUCCAGAGAGCUGCCUUAGACUCCCCAGUAAAUCUAUUCAAACAGCUGCCUCUGUUACCUUGACUCGUCUCAGAUGUCAUCGACCUGAGAUGGCUCCUGGCGCAAGGAAGUUUUCUCUGUGUAGGACGUGAGACUUUACGACCUGCUAAAAAUGAGCUUUCCUAAUAAUGUGGGACCUAUUCAUCUAAGAAUAAAUCAUCCGCUCCGUGACAGAUCAGACAGAACCUGAGACCAGAAACUCAUUUUCUUCUAAAAUGCUUUCUCUGAAAGAUUUUAAAAAGAAAAGGGGGAAAUGUAAAAGGAAAAUACAUCUUGAGACCCCCAAAUCACUAAGCCAAAGAAAGAGGUUAAGCUGAGAACUGCUUAGGGAAAAUCUUCCUUCCAUUCUAUUCCUAAAAACGAUAGCUCGUAAGAUUAAAAAAGCUACAUACCUGCCUCACAAGAAAUUUCCUUGCAGACAAAGGGCAUGCAGAACUCAAAGUCAUUCCUCUGCUCACUGAGAUAGAUAUGUAUUGAUUGUCUCCACUGGAAAGGCUAAUCAGAAACUCAAAAGAAUAACAUCGAAGGUGCCACUCCUGAGGAAAUCUCAACUGCACGACCCCUACUACGCCCCAAUUCAGCAGGAAGCAGUUAGAGCGGUCGUGGGCCAACCUCCCCCAACAGCACUUGGGUUUUCCUGUUGAGAGGGGGACUGAAAGGCAGGACUAGCUGGAUUUCCUAGGCCGACUAAGAAUCCCUAAGCCUAGCCGGGAAGGUGACCGCCUCCACCUUUAAAACACAGGGCUUGCAACUUAGCUCACACUUGACCAAUCAGGUAGUAAAGAGAGCUCACUAAAACGCUAAUUAGGCUAAAACAGGAGGUAAAGAAAUAGCCAAUCAUCUAUUGCCUGAGAGCACAGGGGGAGGGACAAUGAUUGGGAUAUAAACCCAGGCAUUCAAGCUGGCAAGGGCAACCCCCUUUGGGUCCCCUCCCAUUUUAUGGGAGCUCUGUUUUCACUCUAUUAAAUCUUGCAACUGCGAAAAAAAAAAAAAAGAAUGCAACGGUUUGCCUUUUAUCUGCCUAUGACCUGGAAGCCCCCUCCCUGCUUUGAGUUGUCCUGCCUUUCAGGACUGAACCAAUGUACAUCUUACACAUAUUGAUUGAUGUCUCAUGUCUCUCUAAAAUGUAUAAACCAAGCCAUGCCCCGACCACCUUGGGCACAUGUCACCAGGGCCUCCUGAGGCUAUGUUACAGGCACAUGUCCUUAACUUUGGGAAAAUAAACUUUCUAAAUUGACUGGGAUCUUUCUCAGAUAUUUGGAACUCACUCUACACAGACACACAGACACACACACAAACACACUCACAAACAUGCACACACAAAUACACAUAUAUGUAUAUUUGUGUUAUAAACGUAUUAGUCCUUUUUCUGUAAUACAGAUUUUAAGUAAACUCCAGUGCUUCAUUUGUCUUUUUACUUUGCUUAUCGUUCUUUUUUUCUUUUAAGUUUUAAAACACUUUAGGGAAUAGGAAGAGCAAGAUGACUAAAAAAAUCUCUCCAAUGAUAACCCUACCACAGGAACACCGAAUUGAAUAACUAUACAUGCAAGAAAGAACUUCCAUAAAAACCAAAAAAAAAUAAGCAAUCACAGUACCUGAUUAUAACAUCAUAUCAAGAAAAGAAGCACUGAAGAGGGUAGCCAGGGUAGUCUUGCAUUGCCUACAUCAUCCCUCCUCCAUCCCCCAGCAGUACAAAGAGAGAUAAUGUAUGUGCUUGUGGGAGGGGGAGUCAAGGACUUUGGUAUUUGUAUUGGAAUUCAGUGCUACCUUGUCCCAGUGGAACACAACACAGGGCAGAAUUUAGCCAGUGCCAACAGAGGAGGCAUUUAGACUAACCCCAGUCAAAAGGUAAUCUUUUACUCCAGCAGUGGGAACCUGAGCUCUGGCUAGCUCCAUCAAUGCCUGAUUAAUGUAGCCUGGGGUCCUGGAUAAACUUGAAAGACAGUCAGGCUCAAGGCUUGCAGUCCUUGGGUAAGUCCUGUUGCUUUGCUGAGCUUGGAGACAGUGGUAUUGAGAUACCCACAGCUCAGUGAGACAAAAGCUGGAGUGGCCAAGGGAAUGCUUGCAUCAGCUCUUCUCCAACUCCAGGAAGCACAACUCAUAGCUCCAGGAGAGACUCCUUCCACUUGCAGAAAGGAAAAGGAAGAGUAAAAAGAACUUUGUCCUGUGACUUAGAUACACUUUCAGCCACAGUUUAAAAAUAACAAUAAUAAAAAAAUAAAAGCAUAAAGCAGAGUCCUGAGACCUCCAAUUCCAGACCCUAGGUCUUGGAUGACAUUUCUAAACCCACCCUGGGCUAGAAGGGAACCCACUAACCUGAAGUGAAAAACCAAGCCUUGGCAGGAUGCAACACAUGCUGACUAAAGGGACCUUGAUAGGGCUACAUGAGUGGUAGCCAGGCAGUAGUCACCAUGGGCCUUGGACUAGACCCAUUACCGUGCUGGCUUCAAGUGUGACCCAGCAUAGUCCCAACUUUGGUGGCCCUGGAAGUGUUUGCAUCAUCCCUCCCCCAAUUUCAGUCAGCCCAGCACAGAGAGACAAACACUUGUUUGGGGAAAAGUGAGAGAAGAGGAUGAGAGACUCCCUGGUAUUCCAGGAAAUGCUCCCAGAUCUUAUUCAAGUCCACCCAUGAUAUACCUCUGCAAGUAUGCAAAUAUGGCAUCACUACUGGACUUGUGGCACUCCCUAGUGCAGAUAUAGCUGCAGUAACCAAAGACUUAAGUUGCAACUCUAGAUAUGGGAAAGUCUUCUCGAGAAGUAUAAAUCCAAACAAGAAAGAACUGCAAAGAUUAGAAUACCUAAACUCUUCAGCGCCCAAACAUCAUGAACAUCAACAAGCAUCAAGAAUAUACAAGAAAACAUGACCUGACCAAAUGAACAAAAUAAGGCACCACUGACCAAUCCUGGAGUGAGAGACAUAUGUGACUUUUCAAAAGAGAACUCAAAAUAGGUUUUUUUGAGGAAGCUUAACCAAUUUCACAGUAACACAAAUAAGGAAUUUAGAAUUCUAUUAGAAAACAUUUACAAAGAGAUUGAAAUAAUAGAAAAAUCAAGUAGAUAUUUAGAAGUUUAAAAAUUCAAUUAACAAAAUGAAAACAUGCAUCAGAGUAUUUUAAUAGCAGAAAUUAUUAGGCUGAAAAAAAAUAGUGAACUUGGAGAUCGGCUACUGAAAAUGCACAGUAAGAGAAAGCAAAAGAAAAAAGGAUGAAAAAGAAUGAAGUAAACCAACAAGAUCUAGAAAAAGGCCUCAAAAAAAUCUAAUCAUUACUGGUCUAAAAGAGGAGGUAUAGCAAGAGGUUGGGGUAAAAGUCUAUUCAAAGAAAUAAUAACAGUGAACUUUUGAAACCUAAAGAAAGUUAUCAAUAUUCAAGUUUAAGAAAGUAAUAGAACACCAAGUGGAUUUAACACAUUAAGACUACUUCAAGACAUUCAAUAAUCAAACUCCCAAAACAAAAAGAUAAAGAAAGAAUCCUAAAUGCAGCAAGAAAAAACAAGCAAAUAACAUACAAAGGAGUGUCAGUAUCCAGUGAAAAUACCUUUAAAACAUAAAGGAGGCCAGGCACGGUGGCUCAUGCCUGUAAUCCCAGCACAUUAGCAGGCUGAGGCAGGUGGAUGCACGACGUCAGGAGUUUGAGACCAGCCCGGCCAACAUGGUGAAACCCCGUCUCUAGUAAAAAUACAAAAAUUAUCUGAGUGUUGUGGCGUGCACCUGUAACCCCAGCUGCUUGAGAGGCUGAGGCAAGAGAAUUGCUUGAACCCAGGAGUCAGAGGUUGUAGUGAGCCGAGAUCGGAGAUCGUGCCAUUGCACUCCAGCUGGGGUGACAGAGCAAGACUCUUUCACAAAAAAAAAAAAAAAAAAAAAAAAACACACACACGCACACACAUAAAGGAGAAAUAUUUUCCCAAUGAGCGUUAAGAAAUUUGGAAAACACCAGACCUGUCAUUCAAGAAAUGUAAAAGGAAGUUCUUGAUUCUAAAAAGAAAGAAUGUUAAUGAGCAAUAAGAAAUUAUCUAAAGGUAAAAACUCACAGGUAACAGUGAGUACACAAAGAAUAUUCUGACAAUGUAUUCGCUGUGUGUAAACCAUUCAUAUCUUGAGUAGUAAGACUAAAAGACAAACUUAUUUAAAAUAAUAACUAAAAUACUUUUUAAGGUGUAGAUACUGCAAAGGACAUGAACUCAUUCUUUUUUAUAGCUGCAUAGUAUUCCAUGAUGUAUAUGUACCACAUUUUCUUUAUGCAGUCUAACAUUGAUGGGCAUUUGGGUUGGUUCCAAGUCUUUGUUAUUGUGAAUAGUGCUUCAAUAAACAUGCGUGCAUGUGUCUUUAUAGUUGAAUGAUUUAUAAUCCUUUGGGUAUAUACCCUGUAAUGGCAUUGCUGAGUCAAAUGGUAUUUCUGGUUCUGGAUUCUUGAGUAAUCAACACACUGUCUUCUACAGUGGUUGAAUUAAUUUACACUCCCACCCACAGUAUAAAAGCGGAUACAUUACUAGACAUACACAACUUACCAAAAAAAAAAAAAAAUAGUAAAAGCAUUUCUAUUUCUCCACAUCCUCUCCAGCGUCUGUUGUUUCCUGACUUUUUAGUGAUUGCCAUUCUAACUGGCAUGAGAUGGUAUCUAAUUGUGGUUUGAUUUACAUUUCUCUAAUGACCAGUGAUGAUGAGCUUUUUUUCAUAUGUUUGUUGGCUGCAUAAAUGUCUUCUUUUGAAAAGUGUCUGUUUAUAUCCUUCGCCCACUUUUUGAUAAGGUUGUUUGCUUUUUUCUUGUAAAUUUGUUUAAGUUUCUUGUAAAUUCUGGAUAUUAGCCCUUUAUCAGAUGGAUAGAUUGCAAAAAUUUUCUCCCAUUCUGUAGGCUGCCUGUUCACUCUGAUGAUAGCUCCUUUUGCUGUGCCAAAGCACUUCAUUCUCAGCAAACUAACACAGGAAUAGAAAACCAAACACCACAUGUUCUCACUCAUAAGUGGAAGUUGAACAAUGAGAACAUAUGGGCAGAGGGAGG